UACGGGGGGGGCAAGCGUUGUUCGGAAUUACUGGGUGUAAAGGGUUCGUAGGCGGUGUGGCAAGUCGGGAGUGAAAUCUCUGAGCUUAACUCAGGGCCUGCUUCCGAAACUGCUGUGCUAGAGUGUGGGAGAGGCGCGUGGAAUUGCAGGUGUAGCGGUGAAAUGCGUAGAUAUCUGCAGGAACACCCGUGGCGAAAGCGGCGCGCUGGACCACUACUGACGCUGAGGAACGAAAGCUAGGGGAGCAAACAGG
rnacentral:rRNA from 1 species